rnacentral:rRNA from 1 species
UACGGAGGGUGCAAGCGUUAUCCGGAUUCACUGGGUUUAAAGGGUGCGUAGGUGGGUCUGUAAGUCAGUGGUGAAAUCUCCGGGCUUAACCCGGAAACUGCCAUUGAUACUAUAGGUCUUGAAUUUUCUGGAGGUCAGCGGAAUAUGUCAUGUAGCGGUGAAAUGCUUAGAUAUGAACAUAGAACACCGAUUGCGAAGGCAGCUGACUACAGGAACAUUGACACUGAGGCACGAAAGCGUGGGGAUCAAACAGG